CUCUGCCAGUCUGCACGUGGGUGAGCCGGAUGGGGCUGUGCCGUGUGCUGUGACGGGGCUGGGGCUGAGUUUUCUGGGGGCGCCUGGCAUCGCCGGCCCCGGGUGCGGGUCCCGUUAGAGAUCUGCCCCCUGCCCCAUGGGGGGCCUUGGACUAGGCAUGGGGUCCCUGCUGCACGCCUGGCCUCAGGCGCCCCCUCCCCAGCCCCAGCAGCCACUCCUGGGCCUGUCCUGGGCCGUGUGCCCUGAAGCCCCUCCCCACCGGCCCCCACCCCGCCCCCCAUGCACCACCCUCCCCAGGGCUGUCUCCGCAGACCACAGUGAGCUGCAGGGCAAGGCCCGGCUGCGGGCCCGGGACGUGGUGCGUGUUCUCAUCUGUAUUGAGUCCCUGUGCCAGCGCCACACGUCCCUGGAGGCCAUCUCAGGCCUGGAGAGCAACAGCAGGGUCUUCACAGUGCAGGUGCAGGCUGGACAAUACGCUUCUGUGUUUGUGGCCAACGGCUCCGGGGCCUUCCUCACCAUCCAGGUGGGCUCCAGCUUCUCCGGGCUGCUCCUGGGCACGUGAGGGCGCCGAGGGGGGCUGGCGAGGAGCUGCCGCCGGAUCCCGGGGACCCUCCCACUGAUGCCCGUGGUCAUGACAAUAAAGAGCCCUCCACCCUCCCCACCG
rnacentral:sRNA from 1 species